CAAUCUGCCUUGGAGUGGGGGAAUAACGGCUGGAAACAGCCGCUAAUACCGCAUGAUACAGCUGGGAGGCAUCUCCCUGGCUGUCAAAGAUUUAUCGCUCUGAGAUGAGCUCGCGUCUGAUUAGCUUGUUGGCGGGGUAACGGCCCACCAAGGCGACGAUCAGUAGCCGGACUGAGAGGUUGGCCGGCCACAUUGGGACUGAGACACGGCCCAGACUCCUACGGAAGGCAGCAG
rnacentral:rRNA from 1 species